rnacentral:rRNA from 2 species
GCUUACCAUGCAGUCGAGCGGAAGGCCCUUCGGGGUACUCGAGCGGCGAACGGGUGAGUAACACGUGAGCAACCUGCCCUAGGCUUUGGGAUAACCCCGGGAAACCGGGGCUAAUACCGAAUAGGACCUGACACUGCAUGGUGUUGGGUGGAAAGUUUUUCGGCCUGGGAUGGGCUCGCGGCCUAUCAGCUUGUUGGUGGGGUGAUGGCCUACCAAGGCGACGACGGGUAGCCGGCCUGAGAGGGCGACCGGCCACACUGGGACUGAGACACGGCCCAGACUCCUACGGGAGGCAGCAGUGGGGAAUAUUGCACAAUGGGCGGAAGCCUGAUGCAGCGACGCCGCGUGAGGGAUGACGGCCUUCGGGUUGUAAACCUCUUUCAGCAGGGACGAAGCGAAAGUGACGGUACCUGCAGAAGAAGCGCCGGCCAACUACGUGCCAGCAGCCGCGGUAAGACGUAGGGCGCGAGCGUUGUCCGGAUUUAUUGGGCGUAAAGAGCUCGUAGGCGGCUUGUCGCGUCGACUGUGAAAACCCGCAGCUCAACUGCGGGCCUGCAGUCGAUACGGGCAGGCUAGAGUUCGGUAGGGGAGACUGGAAUUCCUGGUGUAGCGGUGAAAUGCGCAGAUAUCAGGAGGAACACCGGUGGCGAAGGCGGGUCUCUGGGCCGAUACUGACGCUGAGGAGCGAAAGCGUGGGGAGCGAACAGGAUUAGAUACCCUGGUAGUCCACGCUGUAAA